AAGUCGUAACAAGGUCUCCGUUGGUGAACCAGCGGAGGGAUCAUUAAUGAGUUGCAAAACUCCAACCAUCGCGAAUGUAACCCAUUGCAGUUGCUUCGGCGGGUGGCCCUGAGAGGGGCCGCGCUCCUCUACGGGGGGCAUGCUCGCCGGAGUCGUACAAACUCUUGUAUUUGUUGGCAUCUCUGAGUAACUUUACAAUAAGUUAAAACUUUCAACAACGGAUCUCUUGGUUCUG
rnacentral:misc_RNA from 1 species